UACGAAGGGGGCUAGCGUUGUUCGGAAUUACUGGGCGUAAAGGGCGCGCAGGCGGUCCUUCAAGUCAGGCGUGAAAUCCCCGGGCUUAACCUGGGAAUGGCAUUUGGGACUGCAAGGCUCGAGUGCGGCAGAGGGGGAUGGAAUUCCGCGUGUAGCAGUGAAAUGCGUAGAUAUGCGGAGGAACACCGAUGGCGAAGGCAAUCCCCUGGGCCUGCACUGACGCUCAUGCACGAAAGCGUGGGGAGCAAACAGG
rnacentral:rRNA from 1 species